rnacentral:rRNA from 1 species
CAAGGAACAUGCAACCGAACGGCCGGCAUUCGCCUCCCCGGAAACGGUGUGUGCGCGAAUGCUGAGCUGCGAUCUAAAGUCUAAAACGACUCUCGGCAACGGAUAUCUCGGCUCUCGCAUCGAUGAAGAACGUAGCGAAAUGCGAUACUUGGUGUGAAUUGCA